GGGUAGCUAGCUCAAUUGGCAGAGCAACUGACUCUUAAUCAGUAGGUUCCGAGUUCGAUUCUCGGGCUACCCA
rnacentral:tRNA from 1 species